rnacentral:lncRNA from 1 species
AUCAAGCUAUAGAAGUCUACACUUUUUAUACAUUUCUACAGUAUCGGCCUGCAAUUUUUUCACAUUUCAACUUUUCUACCUCUCAAGGACUUAAUUUUUUCCGCGUAUUUCACUUCGUUACGAUCUUCAAAUCUCUUCUCAUACACUUCUACAAUAUGUUUAAUCUCCAAUUUUUCACAGUUCAACUUCUUGACCUCUUCAUUCAUUGACUUGAUUCUUUUCUCGUACUUCACUGUAGUUUGCUCACUUUUCAAUUUUUAAUUCUUCAAUUCCUCAACCUUUGAAUUCAACUGAAGAAUGAUUUUACUCUUUUCCUUCAACUUGCCCUCUAGCUCUAACUUAUACUGCUCUAAUGAGUCAAAUUCUUUUUUCAUUGAACGUCGAUCCUUUGUACACAUUCAACAAUUAAUUUUCAAAAUGAAAUUGUAAACAGUAAAUUCUUAUAAAAGGUUUCUUGCUCGAACAAAUUCACUUCAUUAAUUAUACUCCUUCAAAAUUAUAGACUCAACUAAAAACUACUGAAUUUUGAGAAAUCACCAUAUAACAAGCUUAACAAAAGGAAAUCCUCCACAAUAGAGAGGAAUUAGAAACAUGAGCAAACACGAAAAUGGUGCACAAACUUCAUCUUAUUCAAUCUUCCCAACCCCACAUUAAUAUCUUCGACAAGAAAUUAAGUAGAAAAAUCCAAUCUUUGCUUACAGCAAAUCCGAAAGAGCUUUUCUCUCCAUCCAAUCCCAGAUACUACAAAGCCCUCCCCCGACUUUCCACAGCAGUAACUGCUAAUCACAAUUUCAAUUGUCCAUUAAUCUCAGCAACGUAAACCCUUAUGGAAAAUCAUAAGAUAUAGACUGUAACAAGCAAUUUUCUCUGCAACAACUUCAUUAAUAUGAACUCCUUAAAUUAGAAAUAUAAACUCUAGAAGAUAUAGACUGUAACAAGCAAUUUUCUCUCUUUCUCACUUAUGGAAAAUGAGAAAUUAGCAAUUAAUUUAUAAAUACUUCUAAAGGGACCAUCACAUUCCAUAAGACUCAAGAAAAAUGAAGCUAACUUAGAGACCUAGAAUUGCCUUCUAACAAUUUGAGAAAUUGCUAAGAAAUUUUGUACUAAAGAAACUAUAUGAGAGGAUAAAUUUCGAACUCAGGAACUUUCCAAUAGCUCAAGAAAUUUUGAACUCAAUAAACUAUAUGAGAGGCCAAUAGAUUAGUUUUCAAUAUUUUCACCUCUUACAAAAAAUUCGAGUACGGUGCAAAAAGACAUUUUAUUCACUUCCAAUCAUUAUAAAAGAAAAAGAGAAGAAGAUAAAUUACAGAUAUUCAUAUAUAGAUAAGAUUAGAAGUGAAUUAGCAGAAGGCAUCAAAAUUGAGGAUCGUUCAAUUAAAUUAGCAGAUCUCUUACAUACAUCACACGCGGACCAUGCGAAGUGAAUAAAAAUAAGCUCAACCUUUAUGAAGAAUGGAUGUCAUUCCAUCCCCUUCUGCAUCAUUAUGGAGCUGGACUUGGCUCAAUCAUCGACUGCCACUGAACCUCCAAAAGCAUACAUGUUAAAGAGCAAUAAAAAAAAAAUAACAUUCUAGUGUUAGAAUUAGAUAGAAAGAACAAUAUGAAUCAAUUGCAAGUAGAGAUUAAUAGUAGCUUAACCACUUAAAAUAUAUGUAUAUUUAUUUGACACUUGCAACUCUGAUUUACUUAUAAUAAUAACCAUGAACAACUCUAAUGGUAUAUACACAUCUACUGAGGGUUUGAGAAAAGGUUUAUGAUGUGACUGAAGGCAUUCGUUUUGAAAAUUCUGAACAACAAGUAUGAUUUGUUUCUAAGAUCGUUGAUUUUGACGCAAGUUGAAUAAGUAUGGAAAUGUGAUUCAGUCAAGUUUUGAACAUUAGGUUAAUAGCUAGUGAAAAAAUUUCUUGAUAACAAAAUAAGAAUGGCUCACCAAAUAGGCUCAAUUAAUAUCUACUUAGCAGAUAAAUUAUACGGAAUUAUCUUUCCCAAACUAAUUGACUUGUCGAAAAAUCGUACUUGAAUUAGUAUGAUUUGACUAAACAUCAGAUUUUUAGUAAAUUUUGAUUUAAGUUAAUGAAGUGUGUAAAUGAAAAGUUAAUAAAGUUGUGGAUUCCAUAAAAUAUGCAUAUGAUUGAACAUGAGUUAGGAAAAAAAAGAAUUUUAAAAAAUUGAUGUCAAGCAUGGAUUAAAUUUUGGUACAUGAUUUUUUCUUUUUUAUUAUUAUAUUUUAUUCAUUUUUAGAUUUAGGAGAAACUAUGAGCAUUCACCAUUAACCUAUCUCUUUUUUUCUCUAUGUCCAUGUUAAAUUAUAUUCUCCCUUAAAUUCUAUAAAUCUUUAAUAAAGAGUUAAUUUGCCUAUUUGAUUGGUAAUAUGAUACAACUCACCCAUCGUUAGUCUAUUAUAUCGACGAGAAAAAUAUGUUAAAAGAAUUAAAAAGGGCAAAUUUGCAGGACAUGAAACCAAAGAAAAAUUUUUAAUUCAUUCAGACAUCCCAUCAAAUUAAGUAACUAAAUCCUACCAAAAGAUAGUUUUUAUUAACCAAAUGAAAUCGUAGGAAAAAAAAAAUUGUGUGUUAAAAGAAUCUGAUUUGAAGAGAAAAUGAAAAAAUAGGAUGGAAGUAGAUUUUUUGUUACUGUAAGAAUAGUUGUGUGAGAAAGAAAAAAAAAAUCUAUUUGACGGAGCAUAUAAAUAAUAAAAAAAAAGAAAAAAGAAUUUUGUUGUUCCAUGCAGUUCAUGGAGCUUUAGCUCCAGUUAUCAUUUAUUUUAUUUUUUUCAAUUUUUUUUGUCUAAAAAAAUUUCUAUUUGACGGAGCAUAUAAAUAAAAAUUUCUUUUUCCGUGCAGUGCAUGGAGCUAUUAAAAAAAUAGCUCCCCAUUAUCUUUUUUUUUUUUGCCUAAAAAAAUAUUAUUAUUAUUAUUUUCUUUGCUUUUUGUUAAAAAAAUUAUUUUUAUUCUUCAUUUUCAUUUGUUAAAAUUUUUUUGACCAUACUGAAAAAUGAAAUAUUAAAAAAAAUAAAAAUUCAACCAUCCUAAGACACAAAUUAAAAAUGAAAUAAAGCUCUGUGCUUUAGAUCCAAUUUUUUAUUUUUUAAAAAAAUGUUUGUAUUAUUCGUUUUUCUUUUUCUUUUUCUUUUUUUUGUACGUCUUCUAAAUUGUAAAUUCAUUGCACAUAAACAAUUUUAUAAAUUCUUUUUCUUUUUUAAUCUAAUCUAAUAACUUACAAAAAUGCACAAAAUUUCACUUUCCUAAAACACAAAUCAAAAAUGAAAUAUCCACACAAAAAAAAAAAAAAAAGAUUUUAAAAUUUAAAAUGAAAGGGGAGAAGAGCACAAACCUGGUAUUAGACGAAUCACUUCGAAUCUCCUAUGUCACCCUCAAACGAAUCUCCUCCAUCCAAGACCAAUAGAAACUCCAGUGUCUAUCCCUGUCUCCCAUCUAAUAAUCAAUAUUCCCAAGUUUUGUUCCUUUGAAUACAAAAUUGUAAGUGUCAAAAUUAAUAUAGUUUUAAAAAAAUUAAUUUCAAUAAAUGGUUUUAUAAAAUUAUUUCAGAAGCUAAUUCACCAUCAUCUGGAAGGUAUCUUCUAAUAAAAUUAAUACGAUGCUCGGUAAUCAAAUGAAACUUAAGAAAAUUGAUGAUUAACUAAAAAGAACAAAAAAUCAAAACAUACUUACAUACAAAUUAGAGAAUUUUUCUGUCCAUCCAAUCUCGAACACUGUAGAGGAGACCUCCCACUUUCUACAGUAUCAACUGCUAAAACACAAUUUUAAUUAAUUCCAAGUAUCCAAAAUCACAAAUAAAAGUAAAAAAACUAUUUGAAAAUCUUGAAUUAUUAACAAGACCAAACAUUUACAGCUAGAAAUCUUCAAUAAUCGCUCAAUGAUCUUCUGACGGACAAGGCUAUUCGAACUAAAAGAAAAAAAGAAAAAAGAUCAAACAAAAGAAAUGAUAUCGCCAAAAUAAAAUAAACCUUAAUCAGUGGAGAUCUUGUUGUCACUGAACAAUUUCUAAGUAGAUUUUCAACUUUUUAGAAUGUUUACAUACUUAAAAUAAAAAAGAAAAACGAUCUAAUAGAUAAGCAAUAAGGUCGAAAAAAGUUGAAGAAAUAUACACAAGAACGAAGUUUUGAGGAUAAAAUUUUAACCUUCUAGAUUUGUCUGGGAUUCCUCUACCCAUAGAAGAGAAAUAACACGUGCUUAGUAAGAUGAAUUUGCUUUCUUCACAUUUUCUUCGUAUCUUCAUAGCAAUAGGAGAGCAAGUAAGAAAUCAGGUUACAGAGAUCAAUCAAAAGAGCAGAGGAAUAGUCAAUGGAGUGUAAGAA